CGUAACAAGGUCUCCGUUGGUGAACCAGCGGAGGGAUCAUUACCGAGUUUACAACUCCCAAACCCCUGUGAACAUACCUUAAUGUUGCCUCGGCGGAUCAGCCCGCGCCCCGUAAAACGGGACGGCCCGCCAGAGGACCCAAACUCUAAUGUUUCUUAUUGUAACUUCUGAGUAAAACAAACAAAUAAAUCAAAACUUUCAACAACGGAUCUCUUGGUUCUGGCAUCGAUGAAGAACGCAGCAAAAUGCGAUAAGUAAUGUGAAUUGCAGAAUUCAGUGAAUCAUCGAAUCUUUGAACGCACAUUGCGCCCGCUGGUAUUCCGGCGGGCAUGCCUGUUCGAGCGUCAUUUCAACCCUCAAGCCCUCGGGUUUGGUGUUGGGGAUCGGCUCUGCCUUCUGGCGGUGCCGCCCCCGAAAUACAUUGGCGGUCUCGCUGCAGCCUCCAUUGCGUAGUAGCUAACACCUCGCAACUGGAACGCGGCGCGGCCAUGCCGUAAAACCCCAACUUCUGAAUGUUGACCUCGGAUCAGGUAGGAAUACCCGCUGAACUUAAGCAUAUC
rnacentral:rRNA from 1 species